AGUGAACGCUGGCGGUAGGCCUAACACAUGCAAGUCGAACGGCAGCACAGGAGAGCUUGCUCUCUAGGUGGCGAGUGGCGGACGGGUGAGGAAUACAUCGGAAUCUGCCCAGUCGUGGGGGAUAACGUAGGGAAACUUACGCUAAUACCGCAUACGACCUUCGGGUGAAAGAGGGGGAUCGCAAGACCUCUCGCGAUUGGAUGAGCCGAUGUCGGAUUAGCUAGUUAGCGGGGUAAUGGCCCACCAAGGCGACGAUCCGUAGCUGGUCUGAGAGGGUGAUCAGCCACACGGGAACUGAGACACGGUCCAGACUCCUACGGGAGGCAGCAGUGGGGAAUAUUGGACAAUGGGCGCAAGCCUGAUCCAGCCAUACCGCGUGGGUGAAGAAGGCCUUCGGGUUGUAAAGCCCUUUUGUUGGGAAAGAAAUCUUUCAGGCUAAUACCCUGGGAGGAUGACGGUACCCAAAGAAUAAGCACCGGCUAACUUCGUG
rnacentral:rRNA from 1 species